rnacentral:lncRNA from 1 species
GAGCACAGGAAGCCUACUUCUCUGUAAGUGAUGCUUCUCUGACUCCCUCUGACCAUUCCUGUCCCGUUCUCCAGCAUGCUGUGUCCAGGGCUCCCCGGAGGCUCCUGUGUGGUAGCUCUGACAGUGACACUGAUGGUGCUGAGUCCUCCCCUGGCUUUGGCCUGGGACAGGAGAGUUCCUGUGCCUCAGUGUCCUGCUGUCUCCUGGUUCCUUGAUGAAGAUCACGGAGUCUUGGACCCCUCUGCACGUGGCACCGCCUUUCCCUUUCCCCAGAACACGGGCCUGGCCCUAGCCUGUCCCCCCGUAGGGGAACUGCACCUCUCCAGGCACAUUUCAGUCCCUCCUCAGUCCUCCCAGGGCCCUGUGGUCCCUGAGCUCUGCCUGCUCUUCUCUGGGCAGAGCCUGCCCCACUGUGCCCUCCCUGCUCCCCUGAGUCCCUGAGUUUGGCCUCUGUCCCUCCUGCUCCCCUCCCCAGUGUGGACUCCCAGGGUCUGCUUUCCUGCUGUGGGCUUGCAGGGAGGCAGGAGGAGCCUGGACAGGAGCAGGAGGCCCUAGUGAGGCAAGGGGAGCCCCU